UACGUAGGCAGCGAGCGUUUGUUCGGAGUUACUGGGCGUAAAGAGUGCGUAGGCGGUUUUCUAAGUUUGGUGUGAAAUCUCCCGGCUUAACUGGGAGGGUGCGCCGAAAACUGGAAGGCUUGAGUAUGGGAGAGGUAAGCGGAAGUUCCUGGAUGUAGCGGUGAAAUGCGUAGAUAUCAGGAGGAACACCUGCGGUGUAGACGGCUUACUGGACCAUAACUGACGCUGAGGCACGAAAGCGUGGGUAGCAAACAGG
rnacentral:rRNA from 1 species